GGACCCGCACAAGCGGUGGAGUAUGUGGUUUAAUUCGAAGCAACGCGAAGAACCUUACCAGGCCUUGACAUGGAGCUAAAGGCCCUAGAGAUAGGGAGAUAGAUAUAGCUCACACAGGUGGUGCAUGGUUGUCGUCAGCUCGUGUCGUGAGAUGUUGGGUUAAGUCCCGCAACGAGCGCAACCCUUGUCUUCUGUUACCAUCAUUCAGUUGGGGACUCAGGAGAGACUGCCGGUGACAAACCGGAGGAAGGUGGGGAUGACGUCAAAUCAUCAUGCCCCUUAUGGCCUGGGCUACACACGUACUACAAUGGCGGCUACAAAGAGGAGCGAAGAAGUGAUUUGGAGCAAAUCUCAUAAAGGUCGUCUCAGUUCGGAUUGAAGUCUGCAACUCGACUUCAUGAAGUCGGAAUCGCUAGUAAUCGCAGAUCAGCAUGCUGCGGUGAAUACGUUCUCGGGUCUU
rnacentral:rRNA from 1 species